rnacentral:rRNA from 1 species
CGGGCAGGUGGUCCGUUAAGUCGUCUGUGAAAACCCGGGGCUCAACCCCGUGGAAUGCAGGCGAAACUGGCGGACUAGAGAUCGGUAGAGGCUAACGGAAUUCCUGGUGUAGCGGUGGAAUGCGAAGAUAUCAGGAAGAACACCAGUGGCGAAGGCGGUUAGCUGGGCCGAGUCUGACACUCAUCCGCGAAAGCGUGGGGAGCAAACAGGAUUAGAUACCCUGGUAGUCC